rnacentral:rRNA from 1 species
GCUCCAAUAGCGUAUAUUAAAAGUUGUUGCAGUUAAAAAAGCUCGUAGUUGGAUUUGUGGUGUACUUGGCGGCCCCGUCACUAUGUGAUGGAGCUUGCUGGAGUCGCCAUCCUUGGGUGGAUCCUGUGUGGCAUUAAGUUGUCGUGCAGGGGAUGCCAUCGUUUACUGUGAAAAAAUUAGAGUGUUCAAAGCAGGCUUAU